rnacentral:rRNA from 1 species
AGCAGCCGCGGUAAUACGUAGGUGGCGAGCGUUGUCCGGAAUAACUGGGCGUAAAGGGAGCGUAGGUGGAUGAUUAAGUUAGGUGUGAAAGCCCGAGGCUCAACUUCGGAAUUGCACUUAAAACUGGUUAUCUAGAGUACAGGAGGGGUAAACGGAAUUUCUAGUGUAGCGGUGAAAUGCGUAGAUAUUAGGAAGAACACCGGAGGCGAAGGCGGUUUACUGGACUGCAACUGACACUGAGGCUCGAAAGCGUGGGGAGCAAACAGGAUUAGAUACCCUGGUAGUCCACGCCCUAAACGAUGAUUACUAAACGUGGGAGGUAUCGACUCCUUCCGUGUUGAAGCAAACGCGAUAAGUAAUCCGCCUGAGGAGUACGGCCGCAAGGUUAAAACUCAAAGGAAUUGACGGGGACCCGCACAAGCAGCGGAGCAUGUUGUUUAAUUCGACGCAACGCGAAGAACCUUACCAAGACUUGACAUAUAUAGGCAUAGUAUAGAGAUAUACGAAAGGGUAGUAAUAUUCACUAUAUACAGAUGGUGCAUGGUUGUCGUCAGCUCGUGUCGUGAGAUGUUGGGUUAAGUCCCGCAACGAGCGCAACCCUUACAUUUAGUUACUACUAUUCAGUUAGAGGACUCUAAAUGGACAGCCGUAGGUAAUACGGAGGAAGGUGGGGAUGACGUCAAAUCAUCAUGCCUCUUACGUCUUGGGCUACAAGCGUGCUACAAUGGCUAUAACAAAGAGAAGCGAAUCGGUAACGAAGAGCAAACCUGGAAAAGAUAGUCUCAGUUCAGACUGUGGAUUGAAACUCAUCCACACGAAGAUGAAGUUGCUAGUAAUCCCGAAUCAGAAUGUCGGGGUGAAUGCGUUCCCGGGUCUUGUACACACCGCCUGUCACGCCAUGGGAGUUGGAGGGACCCAAAGCCGGUGAGCCAACCGAGCAAUCGGAGGCAGCCGUCUAAGGUAAAGCCAGCGACUGGGGUGAAGUCAUAACAAGGUAGCGGUAUCGGAAGGUGCCGCUG